GGAAUCUUCCACAAUGGACGAAAGUCUGAUGGAGCAACGCCGCGUGAGUGAAGAAGGGUUUCGGCUCGUAAAACUCUGUUGUUAAAGAAGAACACGUAUGAGAGUAACUGUUCAUACGUUGACGGUAUUUAACCAGAAAGUCACGGCUAACUACGUGCCAG
rnacentral:rRNA from 1 species